ACCCAAAACGCCUGCGCAAAAACAUAAGUCGCUCAUUUGCAAGUUCAGAAAGUUGCUAGGCAGCUGAAGAUGCUAACUCGCUGGGUUUCGGUAAAAACUCAGGAUUUGGGGACAGUAGAAAUACUUUUAGGAGAAAGCUAGGUUAAUAGGCAUUAAUCCUUUCUGCUACUUAAGCAGUCAUUUAAUGCCGUCGCCAGCGUCCCCACCAGCCGGCAGUGUCCAGCUGAAGGCGGGAGCUAGGUUUUAGCCUGGAGGUUCUGGGGCUUAGCGCAGUCUCGGAUAAGAUACUAAGGGAAUGUACUCGAAAAUGAGAAACCUGCAACGUUGCCGUAGCAUUUGAGCGCCUACUAUGUUCCAAGCACCGAACCACACUCUACCAGAAUUCAUUUAAUCCUCACACAGCAUAAAAGCCACAGAACACUGGAGGAAAAGCACAGAGGGGAGAUAUCAGCCCUUCUCAGUGGUCUACGAGCCCACACGUCUACCUCGAUGGAUUCAACCAAGGUGCUGCUGUGGAAGACCUUCGUUUUCGACUACGGAAAAGGGGGAGACACCAAUGUAACACUUACUCUUGCAUCUUAAGAACAGGAAAAAUAGCAGAUAUAGGGAAAUAGCAUAUAUACUUCUUCAGAGAAUUAAUUAUUUCGCAGAUUAAUCUGUUCCUUAAGAAUGAGCAGCUGAGAAAAUGACAGCCCUCUAAAGAAAGACAUUUGAUGAUUACUCACCCAGUUGGUGAUUCUUGUUUUAAAGUCUCAAUAUCAGUAAACUGGACGGACUGUCCGCCACCCCUUGUUUUAUAAACAUCACCCUACAGCCAGGAGAGAAGGUCACCAUUACAUUUUGAUACAUCCACAUGAUAAACAUACAUAUAUUUCAAAUUGAAUUUAAGAUUGUUCUUCCAUGGAGACUCCCAUCCACAAAACCAGAUGGUGCUUGGACUGCUGGGUCUAUACCAUAAAAACACUUUAGUGAGAGAUAUGUAUGCAAAUCUAUACACGAAAAUCCAAUGCAGUAUAAUCAGUAGCAUUCUUAGUUGUAGAAAAUAGCAUUCAUUUUUGUUCAAUCUAUAAUUUAAAAGCUUAACUAAAGAUCAAGAAAUCUGUUAGGAAUCUCUGAAUGUUCUAAGGGGCAGUAUAAUCGCCUUUCUAGAUGUACACCCCCCUCAUAUUCAUAUGACAGUAGUCUUAUUUGUAACUAUAGUUUCUAAUAAGAACCAUCCCCCAAAUUGAAUUUGAAAUGUAACACUCACAUCCCCCCCACCCCCUGCCUUUUUUUUGUCUUCUAACUUUAUUAACUGACUCGGAUCAAAGAAAAAUUCUGGGAGCAGGGAUAGGGCUUUGGGUAGUGCAAUACUGCACGAUUUUGAUAGGUCAAAUUUUAAUGUGGGCUUUUUAUCUUCAAGUGGCAUAAAGCCAAGGUAGGAGUUCUUUGCUUGGCUUAUUUUUUAAGUAGGGGUUAACACAAAAUACAUAUUAAUUAAAAGUACAUACUGGAUCUGGAGUUCCUCUAACAGACUUGAGACUCUAAGCCUCAUUCAACAGAAAGUAGCAAAUUUAGUCCCAAUUUAGCAGAUUAUAUGCAGGUUUAGUCCCAAUUUAGCAGAUUCAUAACGUGGUUACUUUAGUUUUCUAACAAAAAGAUUUAGUCAAAUACCCAUUUAUGUUCCAAUUGACACUGCCAGUACGUAAUUUACCAGAGUAAAUAGUUUUUGUUAAGCUGACUUGUAUAUUUUCUCUUGUGUAAAUUUUUUACCUUAAUUAGCUUAGUUUCAAUCUCCCCAUCGGAGGCUAGUUCCUGGUGGGUCAGCAUGUACUUCUCACACUUAGCUAGUGCCUUUUCAUUUGCAACAGAUACAGUGAUGGCAUGAGGGACAUGUGGCUGCAUGACUGUCUCAGUUUGCACGUUAGAGGCAGGCUUAUGAUCUACCCAUCUGUCUCCUGCAGAGCGAGAUCGUCUGUGUCGCAGACGAAUUGGUGGUGCGUUCUGAUCAGGUUGAAAGAAGAAUCAAGAAACAAGCAUAACCCAGAAUUAAUUUAAGGGUACUAUUAGAAGUGCAGCAGGUUUGGCUACAUUAGUGAAAAUAUCAAAACAAAUGCAUGAAUGAACCUUUUCAAAAGCUCAAUAUGUUACUCGAGCAAUUUAAAUGUUCUCUUUGUAUUUCAACACAAAGGCAACAAACAUCCCAACACCAGCUUGUGUGUGGAAUAUACAUUAGAGACAAAUAAUUCAUUUUGCAUUCUUGAUUAAAAACCACUAUUUGUACCUGCUUUUGUGAGGUAAUCUAUUCAACUAUGUUAAAAGCUUCAAAAAGAUCAGCAAAAGCCCUAAACAUAUCAUAGGCCUCUAAACAAAAGAGAGAACACUUAUUUAUGAAAACAGACAACCCUCCUGUUCCAUACACAAAAAGCUGACAGAGCAGCAUAGUACAAAAGGCUAAAGAAUGUAAGGUAUCCUAAGAACCCUAUGUAUAACAUGAUUGAAAGAAUGUAAAAAAAAAAA